CAUAGUGAAGCGAACAGCCUGACUGGAAUCGGCGUUGCCUUGUUGGGUAAUUCACCGGUGUGAGACCCUGCACUCUGAUUUAGGGGUGUGGAUGUUUAAGGCAUCUAACUCCAGGUACCUGAGCGACCUGGAAUUAUUUGAUAUGGUUGGGGUUCGGUCAUACUGUGCUUAGAACUGAUUUAGAUGAAUGCUUGACCAUGCAGUUCCUUAUUUGACCAAUAGAGGGAGUUAUAUCUCCACUGACCAGCCAACUUGUGACUGAUUUUUAGCAUGAUGUCACAUGUUGGAGGAUGGGUGGGCAGAGCUACAAAUAUAAGCUCCAUUUUGUCCUAUAGUCAAUGAUGUUCUCGAAUGAUGACAAAUUACUUUAAAAACGGUGGAACUGUGUGCAUGAUUUAAGUCAAAUGGCUCGCUGUCUAACACUGAUCCUGUCCCUUGAGUUGGAGGAUCUGUGUUGGUUUGGGUUUGCAUGUAAAUCUAGCCUCUCCCUUGUUGUCUCAUGUACUUCCUUCGCGGACAUCCUGGCAGGUUAUAAAUCAGCCCAGGAGGAAUGAAAGGAUUUGAUGGCUAAAUCUUGUCGACCCUGUCUUCUCCAGAUGUUUGACAGCUGGACUGUUGGCGUGGAACUCGAUUCAGGUCAUGGCUGAGUUAGUCUCCUGGGGUGUCUGUGCUGAGUGGAAACCCCAGCAGGGCUCUCUGGUGCCCUGCUACCUGGCACAAGAGUUCUUUUUGUUUUUUAAUCAAUUUCAAUCUUUUCCCCUGUUAAACUGAGCUUGAGUUGAUUUUCAGAUGGUGCCUUUACCAACAUUGGGUACUUAAAAAAAAACUGGACAUACAUCAUCAUAUUGUGAUUUGAAACAAAUGCACCACAGACAGGUGUGAGCAGUAAUUGAUUGUAUGGCCUGUGCUCUUUGUUUUGUUUGCUUUUCCAUGGAUUUGGAAGGAAAAGGAUGCUAAACACACAUACAGGUGCUCAGUGUUUGCUGUUGAUGCUGAAACAAAGGACACUGUGGGAUUCAGAGGUACGAAUUCAGAGCUGUGACCUUGUGAUUCUUCAGCGUGAGUGUGGUGGUAGUUCUUGCAUACGAUCAUUUGUGAAUAUACUACUGCUGCUUGUGAACUGCCUUCCAAAGAAUAUCUUCAUUCAUGUGUAGGUCAUUGUACUUGGUCAGAUGUCCAAAGUGCAACUGCAUCUGUGUUUCCUGGAGUGGAUGUGUAGGUGUGAGCAGUACGCAAUGGGUAAAGGUAGCGGGUGUGUAGGUGCACUCAGCGCUCUGGGUAAAGGUAGUGGGCAUGUAGAUGUGCACGGUGCGCUCUGGGUAAAUUUAGCGGGCGUGUAGGUGUGCUUAGCGUGCUCUGGGUAAAGGUAUCGGACGUGUAAGUGUGCACGGCACAUUCUGGGUAAAAGGUAGUGAGCAUGUAGAUGUGCACGGCGCAUUCUGGGUAAAGGUAGUGGGCAUGUAGAUGUGCACGGCGCAUUCUGGGUAAAGGUAGUGGGCAUGUAGAUGUGCACGGCGCAUUCUGGGUAAAGGUAGUGAGCAUGUAGAUGUGCACGGCGCAUUCUGGGUAAAGGUAGUGGGCAUGUAGAUGUGCACGGCGCAUUCUGGGUAAAGGUACCGGGCAUGUAGAUGUGCACGGCGCAUUCUGGGUAAAGGUACUAAGCAUGUAGAUGUGCACGGCGCAUUCUGGGUAAAGGUAGUGGGCAUGUAGAUGUGCACGGCACGUUCUGGGUUAAGGUAGUGGGCAUGUAGAUGUGCACGGCGCAUUCUGGGUAAAGGUAGUGGGCAUGUAGAUGUGCACGGCGCGUUCUGGGUAAAGGUAGUGAGCAUGUAGAUGUGCACGGCGCGUUCUGGGUAAAGGUAGUGAGCAUGUAGAUGUGCACGGCGCGUUCUGGGUAAAGGUAGUGAGCAUGUAGAUGUACACGGCACAUUCUGGGUAAAGGUAGUGGGCAUGUAGAUGUGCACGGCGCAUUCUGGGUAAAGGUAGUGGGCAUGUAGAUGUGCACGGCGCAUUCUGGGUAAAGGUAGUGAGCAUGUAGAUGUGCACGGCGCAUUCUGGGUAAAGGUAGUGAGCAUGUAGAUGUGCACGGCGCAUUCUGGGUAAAAGUAGUGAGCAUGUAGAUGUGCACGGCGCAUUCUGGGUAAAAGUAGUGGGCAUGUAGAUGUGCACGGCGCGUUCUGGGUAAAUUUAGCGGGUGUGUAGGUGUGCUCAACGCGCUCUGGGUAAAGGUAGCGGGCAUGUAGGUGUGUUCAGCAGAAUAAGUCUAGAUUUUAGGCAUUUUCAACACUUAUUUGAUGGAAAUUCUAAGGUAACAGGCAGACUACUUUAUGGCUUAAUAAUGAGUAUAUUUAGCAGCUACAAGGACAAAAGAUAUUUAAGUUUUCCAUACUAAUGGAAAUUUAAUAGACAUGAACAGACAACAUUUGCAGUGGUUUUGUGAUAAUUUGAACUACUCCA